rnacentral:rRNA from 1 species
ACGAACGCUGGCGGCGUGCUUCACACAUGCCAGUCGAACGGAAAGGCCCCUUUGGGGGUCCUCGAGUGGCGACCGGGUGAGUAACACGUGAGUAACCUGCCCUUUACUUCGGGAUAACUUCAGGAAACUGGGGCUAAUACCGGAUAGGAAUCCUUGCUUCAUGGUGGGGGUUGGAAAGCUUCGGCGGUUUUGGUUGGACUCACGGCUUAUCAGCUUGUUGGUGGGGUAGUGGCUUACCAAGGCUUUGUCGGGUAGCCGGCCUGGGAGGGCGACCGGCCACAUUGGGACUGAGAGACGGCCCAGACACCUACGGGAGGAAGAAGUGGGGAAUAUUGAACAAUGGGAGGAAGCCUGAUGCAGCAACGCCGCGUGCGGGAUGACGGCCUUAGGGUUGAAAACCGAAUUCAGCAGGGGCGAAGCUUGUGGUGACGGUACCUGCAGAAGAAGCACCGGCUAACUACGUG